rnacentral:rRNA from 1 species
GGCCGUGGCGGCAUGCUAUACAUGCAAGUCGAGCGGAGUUGAUAAGAAGCUUGCUUCCUUGAUGGUUAGCGGCGGACGGGUGAGUAACACGUAGGCAACCUGCCCUCAAGCUUGGGACAACUACCGGAAACGGUAGCUAAUACCGAAUACUUGCUUUCUUCGCCUGAAGGAAGCUGGAAAGACGGAGCAAUCUGUCACUUGAGGAUGGGCCUGCGGCGCAUUAGCUAGUUGGUGAGGUAACGGCUCACCAAGGCGACGAUGCGUAGCCGACCUGAGAGGGUGAUCGGCCACACUGGGACUGAGACACGGCCCAGACUCCUACGGGAGGCAGCAGUAGGGAAUCUUCCGCAAUGGGCGAAAGCCUGACGGAGCAAUGCCGCGUGAGUGAUGAAGGUUUUCGGAUCGUAAAGCUCUGUUGCCAGGGAAGAACGUCCUUGAGAGUAACUGCUCAAGGAGUGACGGUACCUGAGAAGAAAGCCCCGGCUAACUACGUGCCAGCAGCCGCGGUAAUACGUAGGGGGCAAGCGUUGUCCGGAAUUAUUGGGCGUAAAGCGCGCGCAGGCGGUCAUUUAAGUCUGGUGUUUAAUCCCGGGGCUCAACCCCGGAUCGCACUGGAAACUGGAUGACUUGAGUGCAGAAGAGGAGAGUGGAAUUCCACGUGUAGCGGUGAAAUGCGUAGAGAUGUGGAGGAACACCAGUGGCGAAGGCGACUCUCUGGGCUGUAACUGACGCUGAGGCGCGAAAGCGUGGGGAGCAAACAGGAUUAGAACCCGCCGGGGAUAAAUAUCACCAA